AAUUUUUGACAAUGGGGGAAACCCUGAUCCAGCCAUCACGCGUGUAUGAUGAAGGCCUUCGGGUUGUCAAGUACUUUUGGCAGGGAAGAAAAGGUAUCCCCUAAUACGGGAUCCUGCUGACGGUCUCUGCAGUAUACACCCCGACUGAGUACGUGCCAGCAGCCGAGUUAAUACGUAGGGUGCAAGCGUUAAUCGGAAUUACUGGGCGUAAAGCGUGUGUAGGCGGUUCGGAAAGAAAGAUGUGAAAGCCCAGGGCUCAACCUUGGAACUGCAUUUGUAACUGCCGAGCUAGAGUAUGUCAGAGGGGGGUAGAAGUCCACGUGUAGCAGUGAAAUGCGUAGAUAUGUGGAGGAAUACCGAUGGCGAAGGCAGCCCCCUGGGAUAAUACUGACGCUCAGACACGAAAGCGUGGGGAGCAAACAGG
rnacentral:rRNA from 1 species